GGGAACUAGACUCAGCAACCUGGACGGCGCCCACGGCGGAGGCUGGCGGGAGUCGCAGGGCCUUUGGAGGGUGGCCCCUUCCCCUCCUCGUCCGCCAGGGACACCAGCGCCUGCAGCCCGUCCAGCUGCACUCUGCACGCUCUCAGAGGCCGGAGAGGCUGGCAGGGGCAGGGCCCCCAGGUGAGCCCAGGAGGGAGAGGGGCCCCUGGGGGAUUUGCACUCUGCACGUCCUCAGAGGCCAGAGAGGCUGGCAGGAGCAGGGCCCCCAGGAGGGAGAGGGGCCCCGGGGGGA